rnacentral:rRNA from 1 species
AUUGAACGCUGGCGGCAGGCCUAACACAUGCAAGUCGAGCGGAUGAAGGGAGCUUGCUCCUGGAUUCAGCGGCGGACGGGUGAGUAAUGCCUAGGAAUCUGCCUGGUAGUGGGGGAUAACGUCCGGAAACGGGCGCUAAUACCGCAUACGUCCUGAGGGAGAAAGUGGGGGAUCUUCGGACCUCACGCUAUCAGAUGAGCCUAGGUCGGAUUAGCUAGUUGGUGGGGUAAAGGCCUACCAAGGCGACGAUCCGUAACUGGUCUGAGAGGAUGAUCAGUCACACUGGAACUGAGACACGGCCCAGACUCCUACGGGAGGCAGCAGUGGGGAAUAUUGGACAAUGGGCGAAAGCCUGAUCCAGCCAUGCCGCGUGUGUGAAGAAGGUCUUCGGAUUGUAAAGCACUUUAAGUUGGGAGGAAGGGCAGUAAGUUGAUACCUUGCUGUUUUGACGUUACCAACAGAAUAAGCACCGGCUAACUUCGUG